GAGUUUGAUCUUGGCUCAGAAUCAACGCUGGCGGCGCGCUUAACACAUGCAAGUCGAACGAGAAAGGGAGCAAUCCUGAGUAAAGUGGCGCACGGGUGAGUAACACGUGGGUAAUCUACCCUCUGGUGGGGAAUAACUCUGGGAAACCGGGCUAAUACCGCAUGUGGACCCGGGGCUUCGGCCUCUUUGUCCAAAGCAGUGAUGCGCUUCCGGAUGAGCCCGACUCCCAUUAGCUUGUUGGCGGGGUAACGGCCCACCAAGGCUACGAUGGGUAGCUGGCCUGAGAGGGUGGUCAGCAACACGAGGACUGAGAUACGGCCCAGACUCCUACGGGAGGCAGCAGUGGGGAAUAUUGCGCAAUGGUCGAAAGACUGACGCAGCGACGCCGCGUGUGGGAGGAAGCCCUUC
rnacentral:rRNA from 1 species